AAUCCGAAUCCCGGCUGUACAUCAAUGCGCUGGAACUCCUGGCAGGCUCCUUCGCCAUCCGCAGUUUUGCCAGGGACCGAGCCCCAACAUGCAUUCGGCUCCGCAUGGACAACGUCUCGGCGGUGAGAUAUGUCAACCACCUGGGUGGUUCACAGUCGGCAGUCCUGGCCAGAUUGGCGAAAGACUUUUGGGAAUUUUGCCUGGAACAGAACCUGAUGGUCUAUGCGGAAUACUUACCUGGCCUGCACAACGUCCAGGCGGACUGGCGUUC